UUCAUGCUCCCUCCGCCCAGAAAUACUUGUCAGAGAAAUGGAUGUAUGUAGACGUAUUUUAGUUCUAAAUAUAUCCAUUUUCAUCCAUUUCUGCGACAAGUAUUUCCGGAUAGAGGGAGUAGAUU
rfam:Triticum aestivum genome assembly, contig: Triticum_aestivum_CS42_TGACv1_scaffold_288475_4AL